AUGCUGCUGGCGUCAAAUGGGCUCUGAGGACCUUAGGUGAUAGAUGGAAGGCCCAUAAAUAUAAUUUACGGGGAGAAUACUUCUUUCCUAACAAAAGAAAGGCAGAAAUCCUGGCUGCGAAUCCCUCAGACAUACUGCCUGUUGAAUGGACUGCUUUUGUGGAUCAUUAUAUGGAUCUUAAAACAAAGAAACAAUGUUUGCAAAACGCCAGAAAUUGUGAGAAGCUUAUAGUUUCACAUGCCGGUGGAAGUAAAAGCAAUGCUAGAAGAGCAACUUAGAUGGAAAAAAAUUGGGAAGGCCUGUAUGUCGAAGCGAGGUUAUUGUAUCAACUUUGCUAAAGAAAGAUGGGAGUUAUGUCAGCGGGGAAGGAUAACGAUUAGCUG